rnacentral:lncRNA from 1 species
GGGGGUGGAGUUGCAAGCUGAUGCUCUCAGUCAACCCCUUCCUCUGCUAACCAUUGGUUUGCAGGCUGCAUAAUCCACUCUAACUUUGGGCAGGACUUCUAAGAGCUUCUAAUCUGUAACUCCUUUUUGUACACCAACCCCAACCACCCAGCCUUGGGAAACUGAGUGUACAAGGCCUCAGCCUGGGUACACCGAAAGGAAGCAGAGAGGAGAAGCGAGUCAAGAAGCUUGAGAUCUGACACAGGUUCUGGCAAGUGCCCUUGGGCCAGGGACUCUUAUUUCCUCUUCCAUAGAAGGAUGACACAGCAAGAAGGCCCUCACCAGAUGCUGAGCAGAUGCCGGCACCAUGCCUGUGGACUUCCCAGCCUCCAGAACUGUAAACGCUGCAUUUCUACAACAGCCACCUGUGCAGGCCCUGCAUGCUCUGUAACCUGGGGAUUUGGUCUUCUGAAAAGGGCACCAGAGAAAAACUGCUCUUAAGCCUCUGUUAACUGACACAGCAGUAGAACUCCAAGGUGUUGAUCCUUGGAUUCAUGUUUCUCAACUUCAGAGACACACAUCACUCCUUCCUGACCACUGGGCAUCCAUCCCACCAGGAGCUCCUAAUCUGAGAGCUGUUAGAAAUCCUCCAAAAGUGCUGACUGCAGAAGUUGGUAGCUUCUGCUCAAGAUGACAGAACAAGAUUAACUUUUGUAUUCUUCAGCACCUUUUUUAUUUUCCAUUAUCACACUUUGAUACCCUCUAAAACAUUAAAACACCUUCU